rnacentral:rRNA from 1 species
AUUGAACGCUGGCGGCAUGCCUUACACAUGCAAGUCGAACGGUAACAGGUCUUCGGAUGCUGACGAGUGGCGAACGGGUGAGUAAUACAUCGGAACGUGCCUAGUAGUGGGGGAUAACUACUCGAAAGAGUGGCUAAUACCGCAUGAGGUCUACGGAUGAAAGCAGGGGAUCGCAAGACCUUGUGCUACUAGAGCGGCCGAUGGCAGAUUAGGUAGUUGGUGGGAUAAAAGCUUACCAAGCCGACGAUCUGUAGCUGGUCUGAGAGGACGAUCAGCCACACUGGGACUGAGACACGGCCCAGACUCCUACGGGAGGCAGCAGUGGGGAAUUUUGGACAAUGGGCGCAAGCCUGUUCCAGCAAUGCCGCGUGCAGGAUGAAGGCCUUCGGGUUGUAAACUGCUUUUGUACGGAACGAAAAGCCCCGGGUUAAUACCCUGGGGUCAUGACGGUACCGUAAGAAUAAGCACCGGCUAACUACGUGCCAGCCGCCGCAGUAA